UAAACACCUGAAAGCUGGGCCCUGGCUGCACGGACGUGCGGACGGCGUCGACGGAGCGAGGCCGAGCCGUGGCUCGAGACGUCGCCGGCGUCCUGGUCCGUGGAUCAGAUCCGGUAGCGCCGGCAGUCGACGCAGUAAAUGCGAUUGGUGGGCCGCUCGGGGGAUGGGGCACUGGAUUUGGAUCUAGCAUUCUUCCCCAGGCGGCGAAGCGGCGGGGAAAUCUACUGCGGCGAAGGCGAUUUGGCAGUCCAGCGAGCUCGAAGGUGCUCGGGCAGCCAUGGAGUUCUUGAUGCAGCCCAUAAGCAGGACACUGCUAGAAGAGAUCAAUGAUAACAAUAGCAUGAUGGAGACUGUGCGGGUCCUGGUCGUCGCGGCCGCGGAGGUAGAGUUGGCAGCACCGGCGGCUUCCAGCGCCGACAGGCAAAUCUGUCUUGAAGCAGCCAGUGCAAAGCCUGCAGGUGCAGAUGGGGCUGAAUGCUCAGAGCACUCCAUAGAGCAGCUGGACCCAAAAACACCGGGCUGGGCGCAAAGAGUGCGUGUCAGUGCUGCUGCUCUAGGUAGGGCUCCUUGCCCGGACAGGGUUACAGCCCUGGAGAAGACUGUCUGACAAUUUGCAAAGGAACCCGAACCAGGAGACAUUGUCAUUGUGCCAAAGAUAGGAACAAGUUUGGACACACUUGGCGAGGCGUACGACUUUUACAAUUUAUACUCGUGGGAGAAAGGAUAGAUAUGGAAAAAGCAGGCUAAAUGUCAACCGGACGAAAUGCAUGCUGGAGACAGUCUGUGGAUGUGCGGGGAAGCCAAUAAUUGAAGAUACUCGUUCUUGCCACUGUGAAUGCCCUGCCCUCAUAAGGUUGUUGCAGUCAAAGGACAAUGGUUGGUAUAUAGCUGAGCAUCGAGAAGUGCACAACCAUGCACUGUCAUAGACAUUUUUUUUUGAUAAAAGAGAGCAUUCUCUCCGAUUUCCAUUAAGAGAAAUCACCAUGUCUUACAAAGAAAAAACAGGAAAUAAAACUGCAGCAUAACCCCCCCCCCUACGCAGUACUGUCACAGAAAUAUGGUCAGACACAAGCAUAUUGAUGUGUACAACAGGGAUCUUGUGAAGCAGCUUUGGCAAAACAAUGUAAACCUUGCCAAGGUGUACAUCAUUAUCAGUAGCUUCUUUGGAAGAUGGAGAAUGUACCAUUCACAAAGAGAGCAUUACGGAAUCUGUGUGGUAAGAUAAGCCGAGAGCAGUCGGAGGAUGAUGUGAGGAAAAAAAUGAUUGACCAUGAGCUGAUGUCUGUCAUUCUCCAUCGGUAUUGCCAGGCUGACCAGGAAGCCGAUGAAGAAUUGCCCCACCUAACAUGGAGGCACCCACUUGAACCAGAUUACUCGACAUUGGUGCUAUCCGAUUUCGACUAUGUCCACACUGUCGAUUCAGAACCAGUUAGCAGCUAGUGCGCCGAAGUAUGACAUCACAUCAGCACAACUGUUCUUCACUCCCGUUCCAGAUCCCGAAGGUUGGAUGGUCAUUUUUUGGGACAUGGCCGGUUACACGGCUGAUGACAGUCAUCAACCUGUUGUACAGUAAGAAAUGUCCACACCCACCUACCCAGCAACUGGACGAAAUCAUAGCAUGGAAGCUACAUUAUGCCCUGUUCCAUUGCCGGACAGAAUACUAUGCCGGGUGGCCAGCAAGCAAGGAAGGCUGGACUGUGAAGUUCCUGGCAUUCGCUGAGACCAAAUUCACACGCGAGGAGUUUGGUGCUUGCGUUGUCCACAUAGUCCGUCAGUUCGACGGGGACAACCUGAAGCUGCCCAUUACAAAGCACAACAUAUCAAAAUCAAAGCACGACGCCCUGCGCACGAAUGCAUGAAGCUACAGGGAAAUUUCUCCUCCCCCGCCCGUGAGGCAGUUUGGCAUGUUCUUGCCCUAUCAGACUCCACAUUUGACACCAGCUAAAACACCGAUGUACUAAAUUACCCAGGAUGUCCCACUGGGUGAUUUAUCCUUAUCAUCUCAUGAAAAGAAGUGUUUUCAACACAAGCUUGUACCCCUAAUGCUACAUUUGAAUUAUGUGCCGAGCAUUGUACUAUCAAAGACCAUGGUUUCAAACCAUAUCCUUUUUUGUUAAGCAAUUUGCUGCCCCUGA